CUGUUUCCUUAUUAAUGGAGAAAGGCAGUUAUGUUUUUGCAGCGGUCAAGGGCAUUGAAGAUAUUAUGGCUUUACUUAUCAUCGUUAGCUUCCUUCUGUGUCUCCCAUUCUUCCUCUUCUUCUUUGUUUUGCAAAGGCACAAAACCUCGAAAAAUAAUACUAAAUUACCACCAGGCCCCCGGGGCCUUCCCUUCAUCUGUAACUUACAUCAGUUUGAUGUCUCAAAGCCUCAUGUGUCAUUUUGGGAACUAUCGAAAAAAUAUGGCCCCCUCAUGUCCUUGCGUCUUGGUUUUGUGCCGUCCUUAGUAGUUUCCUCAGCAAAAAUGGCUAAAGAGAUAUUGAAAACCCAUGACCUUCAAUUUUGUAGCAGGCCAGCCUUGGUAGGGCAACAAAAGUUAUCUUACAAUGGUCUUGAUUUGGCUUUUUCACCCUAUGAUGAAUAUUGGAGAGAGAUUAGAAAAAUUUGUGUCAUUCAUCUCUUAAACUCUAAUAAGGUACAAAAUUUUCGACCCAUUAGAGAAGAUGAAGUUUCAAGAAUGAUUGAAAAGAUUUCAAAAUCAGUUGCUGCUUCUAAGCUCGUAAACUUAAGUGAGGUAAUGAUGUCUCUUACUAGCACUAUUAUUUGUAGAAUUGGUUUUGGCAAGAGGUACGAUGAAGAUGAAGCAACAAGUGCAAGAAGUAGAUUCCAAGCCUUGCUUAAUGAAACUCAAGCCUUGUUUGUAAGCUUUUUUGUUACAGAUUAUUUUCCUUUCAUGGGCUGGAUUGAUAAGUUCACAGGAAAGAUGCAACGUCUGCAAAAUAACUUCCAAGAACUUGAUAGAUUCUACCAGGAACUCAUCGACGAGCAUUUGGAUCCAAACAGAACAAAAUCAAAAUUGCCGCAACAGGAGGAUAUAAUUGAUGUUUUACUUCAAAUACGAAAAGAUCGUGGAUUUAAAGUUGACCUGACUUUGGAUAACAUCAAAGCAGUGCUCAUGGUGGAUAAUUUUAUAAAUAGUUAUAUGUAGACUCGUGCUUAGGCGCAGACUCAAAAUUUUGUGCAGAUGCCCAAUUUUACAGUGUUGUAAAACGUUUUAUAAUGCUGUAAAGUGCUCUUUGACGUCUCCGCCUGAGCAUGAUUAAUUUAAUAUAAUUUUAUUCGCUUUAACUAAUUUAAUAUGUAUAUUGUUUGCUUUGCAGAACGUAUUCGUUGCUGGAACAGACACAAGUGCAGCAACUGUGGUUUGGGCCAUGACCUACCUAACGAAGAAUCCUAGAGCAAUGAAAAAAGUUCAACUGGAAAUUAGAUCGUUGAUUGGGGGCAACAAAGGCUUUGUCAAUGAAGAUGAUGUUCAAGAACUACAUUAUCUUAAAGCCGUAGUGAAGGAGACAAUGAGAUUGCAACCUACAGUGCCGUUACUACUUCCAAGAGAAGCAAUUCAAAAGUGCAUAGUAGAAGGGUAUGAAAUACCAGCUAAAACACGUGUUUUUGUAAAUGCAUGGGCGAUAGGGAGAGAUCCUGAAGCUUGGCAGAAUCCUGAGGAAUUUUAUCCGGAGAGAUUUGUUGAUAGUUGUAUUGACUUUAAAGGGCAAAACUUUGAGUUAAUACCGUUUGGUGCUGGCAGAAGAAUUUGUCCUGGGUUGAAUAUGGGAAUUGUAACUGUGGAGCUUGCACUUGCUAAUCUUCUUUACAAAUUUGAUUGGGAAAUGCCGCCUGGAUUGAAGAGCCAUGACUUUGAUGUUCUGCCCGGACUUGCCAUGCAUAAGAAGAACGUUCUUUCUCUUCGGGCUAAGUAUCAUGUUGAGUAGGUAAAUUAAGGCACCUCCAUCAAUAAGAAGGUAAAUUAAGGCACCUCCAUUAAUAAGGGUUUGAUCUAGCUAAAGGAAAUAUAUGUUAUGCGUCCUCAAUUGUGCUUCUCAAUGUUUUCUUUCUUUCUUCUUAUGUAUAAUGGAUGUUUACGCGAAUGGUUUUUAGUAAGUAAUUUUCUUUUAGUUCAAAAUUUUGGGAGGUAAGGGCUAGAAGAUAAUAGGGACUCUGCCCACUCUCUUAUACCUUUAAAAAAAUGAUAUGAAUGUGAGUAUCAAUUUAUCACAUUUAUUUUGUCUUACAUUUUUCUCUCUCCAAUUUCAAAUUAUAAAUGUAUAUAUAAAUACACGAAACGACCAAUCAAUAUUAUUUACUUGAUAUAACUAAUAAGUAAAUUCAUGGCUUUUUCUAUCACCCCUUUUUUUGUUAGGAGUAUCAGUAAAAUCAGCUCUGUAAUGCUCUACAUCUUUACCGUGAAAGCUGCAUUUUUAUGGAAUCAGCUUACAGUUAUGUACUAACCAAAAAAAAAGAAAAAGAAUAUUACAUCAAUUCUUCAUUGAGAUUUGAGACAUUUUCUUCCUCCAGAAAGUAUACAAGUUAAAAAAACUACACAUCAUUGUGAUUUCAUAACAGCAUCAUCCAUCACUUUCCUAUGAGCUUUUUAUGAGGCCGGAGGCUAAAGCACAAUCAGUUGAGCUUUUAUUGCAUUUCCCACAGCAAGACUGUGGCAAAUCAGUUGACUUUUGACGUUAAAUGGUGGUUUCGGCUUGCAGUCACUUGUGUUUGUUCAAUUUCAAUAAAGGAAAUUUCCCCACUCUCUUAUACCUUAAAAAAAUGAUAUGAAUGUCAGUAUCAAUUUAUCACGUUUAUUUUGUCUUACAUUUUUCUCUCUUGUUCGCUGUUCAGUAAAACUAAAACAACACCAAAACUUAAAUAUUUUCGCUAUAUCACAAACUUAAAUAUUUUUUUUUUUUCCCCCUAUACAUCCCUAGUAAGGUUGACAGAAAAAAACCAAAUUUCAAUCGGUAUUGGGAUCCCCUCCCGAAUGAUAGGGGAUUUGGCACUAAUUUUUAAAAUCGAUUCGAUACUAAUUUUAACAAACACUUGCUUUAAACCAACUUAUUCUUCUACCACAUAAUUUACUUAACUUUCAUUACAUGAAAAAUAGUCAUUUUUUUUACCUAACUUGUUCGACAAUAGUUAAAUAUGUUGGUGAGAGGGCAGUUUUCAAUUGUAAAAAUCAAGACAUCGAGAAAAACUAAAAUGGCUAUUUGGUUUUUCUAAUGAAAAACUAAAACAACUAUAUGGUUUAGCGUGAAAUUUUAGCUUCAUUGGUAUUUAUGACGAUUGUAACUAACCAUUAAAAAUGCAUAAUUAUUUUCUACCUGUAGUGAUUUAGGUGCUGUAGAAUUCGAUUAGCAAUCUAAGCACUGCCCAAGAUCACAAACCAGAUCCACUAGAUGCUAAGAACCCAAACAAUCAAGCUGAUUUUUCAGGCUGUCAAUUGAUUAAAUCCUAUGAUCGUAUCUAGGGUUGUCUAUUGUUUAGGGAAAUAUCCAACGGUCGUACCUUGGUUAUUGACUAGAAUUUUUUUUUUUUCCCCCUAUACAUCCCUAGUAAGGUUGACAGAAAAAAACCAAAUUUCAAUCGGUAUUGGGAUCCCCUCCCGAAUGAUAGGGGAUUUGGCACUAAUUUUUAAAAUCGAUUCGAUACUAAUUUUAACAAACACUUGCUUUAAACCAACUUAUUCUUCUACCACAUAAUUUACUUAACUUUCAUUACAUGAAAAAUAGUCAUUUUUUUUACCUAACUUGUUCGACAAUAGUUAAAUAUGUUGGUGAGAGGGCAGUUUUCAAUUGUAAAAAUCAAGACAUCGAGAAAAACUAAAAUGGCUAUUUGGUUUUUCUAAUGAAAAACUAAAACAACUAUAUGGUUUAGCGUGAAAUUUUAGCUUCAUUGGUAUUUAUGACGAUUGUAACUAACCAUUAAAAAUGCAUAAUUAUUUUCUACCUGUAGUGAUUUAGGUGCUGUAGAAUUCGAUUAGCAAUCUAAGCACUGCCCAAGAUCACAAACCAGAUCCACUAGAUGCUAAGAACCCAAACAAUCAAGCUUUAAGUUUCAACAAAACCUUUAACGAAAAUGGCUUAAUCAGAACACACUCAGAACAAGAAUUAGAAACCAAUCACACCCAAAAGAAAGAGAAAUAUUUACGUGGUUCGAUUGUGCAAAGAAGCACAAUCUGCAUCCACGGGAGAAGCCCACCCACAGAGCAAGCUUUAUUGAUGAUUCAAGUAAUCUUUACAGAGCAAUACAAGAGCUAACUACUAGGAUCAAGAAGAAGAGUAGGAAUUUAUUUUUGUUGGCUUCGACACCCAUCAAGUAGGUAAAUUAAGGCACCUCUAUCAAUAAGAAGGUAAAUUAAGGCACCUCCAUUAAUAAGGGUUUGAUCUAGCUAAAGGAAAUAUAUGUUAUGCGUCCUUAAUUGUGCUUCUCAAUGUUUUCUUUCUUUCUUCUUAUGUAUAAUGGAUGUUUACGCGAAUGGUUUUUAGUAAGUAAUUUUCUUUUAGUUCAAAAUUUUGGGAGGUAAGGGCUAGAAGAUAAUAGGGACUCUGCCCACUCUCUUAUACCUUAAAAAAAUGAUAUGAAUGUCAGUAUCAAUUUAUCACGUUUAUUUUGUCUUACAUUUUUCUCUUUUCUCUCUAUCUUAACUCUCUCUAUCACGCUCUCAGAUCAUCCAUGAAACUGCUUCUUUAACCAGCUUAUAUAGCAGCUGAUAAAGAACCCAGAAGCUGCAGAUUUCCGCCACCUGGACUAACAGCUUCUAACUGAUUUGAUUCUCCACCCCCCGUGCACUUCACAUGUUUCACUUAAGCCUUUUGCCGAAACGUCUCCAGCUCCUGCCGUUUUGAACUGAAGUGAAUCACAUGCCAUGCUCGUGACUCCUGAGUAUAUUAAACAUAUUCCAAACGCUGUCGUUUAACAUGCUCAAGUUUUGGAUUCAGCAUUUUAGUCCACACUACCGUUUCAAAAACAUAGUCGAAAAUAAAAUAAUAUUUUCAAUUAUUGUAAUUUUUAAUCAAAAAUAGAAAAAUAUUCUUAAAUGUAACUAGGAGUUGGUUGAAAAAACCAUUAAAAAGAUAUAAAAUUUUAACAGACAACAUGGGCACCAAUAAUGCUUUUCACUACUAUAACUUGCAAGGUUGGUCAAAGCAAAAGCUGUAAGGGUAAGUAAAUAUAAUAUAAAAUUAUAUAUCAUCUAAAAGAAAAGUAAUUGUAAGUUUUUUUUCUUAGUUUACUAUUUUUUUUUAUCAAACAUGAACUAGAUAAUUAAAUAAAUAAUUAAUUAAUUAAUGUACUUUUUUUUAUAGAAUUAAUUAAUGUACUUAAUUGAAAAUAAAAUUAACUUCUACGAUGCAAAUAGAAUUUGAGCCCUUAACUGAAAAGAUAAAAUAUGAAAGUGCCUACCACUUGAGCAAGAAAUAAUUUUCAGUAAAUUAUAAAUUAAAUAAUUAUGAAAGGAUUGAUUUUUUCUAAAGGUUUUACUAGGUGCAAUGAUUAGUAUUAAAAAUUGUUUAAUUAUCAAGCGAUAAUAUGUUAUUUUAUGCUUAUGUUAUAAUUUAUAUUUGUGUUUAUGUAAUAUAUUAUGAAUUAUUAAUUAUGUUUUAAAUAUAUUUAAUUUUGUGUAUUUUUAUGUGUUUAUUAGGAAAAUUAUUAAUUUCACGUACUUCGAGGCUCCAAACAGAUAAACGGAGGUCAAAUUUGGAUUCCGGAGGUCCGAAAACCUUAAGAUCCGUGUAAGGUUGAUAGAAAAAACCAAAUUUCAAUCGGAAUUGGGAUCCCCUCCCGAAUGAUAGGGGAUUUGACACUGAUUUUUAAAAUCGAUUCGAUACUAAAUUUAACAAACACUUGCUUUAAACUAACUUAUUCUUCUACCACAUAAUUUACUUAACUUUCAUUACAUGAAAAAUAGUCAUUUUUUUUUUUUACCUAACUUGUUCGACAAUAGUUAAAUAUGUUGGUGAGAGGGCAAUUUUCAAUUGUAAAAAUCAAGACAUCGAGAAAAACUAAAAUAGCUAUUUGGUUUUUCUAAUGAAAAGCUAAAACAACUAUAUGGUUUAGCGUGAAAUUUUAGCUUCAUUGGUAUUUAUAACGAUUGUAACUAACCAUUAAAAAUGCAUAAUUAUUUUCUACCGUUUUAAAAACAUAGUCGAAAAUAAAAUAAUAUUCUCAAUUAUUGUAAUUUUUAAUCAAAAAUAGAAAAAAUAUUUUUAAAUGUAACUAGGAGUUGGUUGAAAAAGCCAUUAAAAGGAUAUAAAAUUUUAACAGAAAACAUGGGCACUAAUAAUGUUUUUCACUACUAUAAAUUGCAAGGUUGGUCAAAGCAAAAGCUAUAAGGGUAAGUAAAAAUAAUAUAAAAUUAUAUAUCAUCUAAAAGAAAAGUAAUUGUAUGUUUUUGUUUCUUAGUUUACUAUUUUUUUUAUCAAACAUGAACUAGAUAAUAUAAUAAUUAAUUAAUUAAUAUACUUAAUUGAAAAUAAAAUUAACUUCUACAAUGCAAACAGAAUUUGAACCCUCAACUGAAAAGAUAAAAUAUGAAAGUGCCUACCACUUGAGCAAGAAGAAAUUUUCAGUAAAUUAUAAAUUAAAUAAUUAUGAAAGGAUUGAUUUUUUCUAAAGGUUUUACUAGGUGCAACAAUAUUGAAUUACCUUAUUUAACUUAAAAGAUACCAUUGAUUGAUUACAGCAUAGAUAUAACUUACGAUAUCUUAAACUCUAUAAUAUUUAUGAUCCCAUUCUAUCUUAUACACAAACUUGAAACUUAUGUUAAUUAAGUCUCAACUAUUUUAAUCAUUCUCAUUGAAUCAAUUUAGAGAUUGAUUAUCGAACUAGCUGGUAUUUUAUAGUUAAGUAUUUAAAGAAAUAAUAUCUAUGAUUGAUCAUAAUUAUUGUUGAAUCAAUUUGGAGACUAGCUAAUUUUCAAAUUAAUGUAAUUAUCUAGUGGUCAAUUUUACUAAAUAGAGUCUAAUAGUUUUCAUAAUUGUGGAACAUGGAACGUAUACUUCAUACUUAAAACUUAUUGCAUAUAUUAAAAAAAUUAGAUGAUUAGUAAUUAACAUUUAAUUAUAGUUGAAAUAUUGAUUAUUAAAUUAGUCUAAUUGUCUAAGAACAGUCAUACAAUUAAUUUCAACAGAUAACAAGAACUAUUGCAAUAAUUUAUUUAUAUUUUGAAACAUAUCUCAACUAUGAAUUAUUAAAACUAAUAUAGCUUCUUAGUUUUUACGCCAAUAUCUAUUUUCGUCUUUUGUUUAUCUUAUUAAUUUAAAUUUAAAAUCUAUGUUAAAGAUGUUCUAUCAAUCAAUUUACGCUAUUGCAUUAAUGAGAUAAAAUUGUUUUGCAAUUAAUCGAAUCGUAAGCUAAUAAUUUUCAAUAUUUAUUAUUAUUUCAAUAUUUAUUAGUGUGAAAUAACUAACUUAGGAUAAAUAAAUAAAUAGAUUGAUUUUUUCUUAAAUUUUAAUAUCUUGUAUUAUCCCUAUUAACUAUUUGGUCCACUUAAUUACUAUAAUGCCCCAUAAAUAACAUAUUUUUUAUUGCAUAACUGAUUAGAACUAAUAUUUUUUCGACUGUAAUUUAUUUAUUUUAAACCGUUUUUACCCCUAAAAAAUAGUGUAUUUGUAAUGGUAAUUAGUUAGUUGAAAUUGAUCUUGCAAAUACAACUGCUAUCGAAAAUACUCUUUUCUACUACUUAAGGUGAUCAUAAAUAUUAAUCAUUAGUCACAUGUCCAUACUAGUUUUCAAUCUAUAUUUAUGUACUUAUGAUCGUCAAUUUAUCACCAAAUAAGCAUAUUUAUGGCGGCCUAUUGGAAAAAGUGUAUUUCUAACCUGGGUAUUAGCGAUUACCAACGACUAAUUAAGGCCACUGGAAAAACACAUUUUCAACAGCGUAACACUUGUUUCAAUUGUAUUCAGCAGUCUUAAAAAAUUAUUUUUAUGACCAACUGUAGUUGCCUGGCGAACAUAUUUACCACACAUAAAAACUAAAACAUCCGAGAUUUUUCUUUAGAUACUUCUAUAGAUAUUUUAACAUUUUAGAUUACAAUAUUUUUCAACACUUGAUUUUAUCAUUAAUUGUUGACUAUGGUGACGACAAAAAAUCUAUUUCAUUGUGCUAACCUCACAAGUGAAAAGGACUUCACAAGAGUACAAAACAGAGCCUUGAUCUAAUAAUAUUACCGAAUAUAGCAUUUUGUUUCCUUAUAAAUGCAGAGAGGUUCUGUCUUUGCAGUGAUUAAGGCAAGGGCAUAAAAGAUAUUAAUGGCUUUACUUAUCGUCAUCAAUCUCCUUCUGUGUCUCUCAAUCUUCGCCGUCUUCUUUGUUUUGCAAAGGCACAUAACCUCCAGAAAUAAUACUAAAUUACCACCAGGCCCGCAGGGCCUUCCCUUCGUUGGUAACUUACACCAGCUUGAUGUUUCAAAGCCUCCAGUGUCAUUUUGGGAACUGUCAAAAAAAUAUGGGCCCCUCAUGUCCUUGCGUCUUGGUUUUGUGCCAUCCCUAGUAGUUUCCUCAGCAAAAAUGGCUAAAGAGAUAUUAAAAACCCAUGACCUUCAAUUUUGUAGCGGGCCAGCCUUGGUAGGACAACA
rnacentral:lncRNA from 1 species